rnacentral:rRNA from 1 species
GACGAACGCUGGCGGCGUGCCUAAUACAUGCCAGUCGAGCGGACUGAUUAAGAGCUUGCUCUUAUGACGUUAGCGGCGGACGGGUGAGUAACGCGUGGGCAACCUGCCCUGUAGAUCGGGAUAACACCGAGAAAUCGGUGCUAAUACCGGGUAAUAUCUGAGAUCACAUGAUCUUAGGUUAAAAGAUGGCUCCGGCUAUCACUACAGGAUGGGCCCGCGGCGCAUUAGCUAGUUGGUAAGGUAAUGGCUUACCAAGGCGACGAUGCGUAGCCGACCUGAGAGGGUGAUCGGCCACACUGGGACUGAGACACGGCCCAGACUCCUACGGGAGGCAGCAGUAGGGAAUCUUCCGCAAUGGACGAAAGUCUGACGGAGCAACGCCGCGUGAGUGAUGAAGGGUUUCGGCUCGUAAAGCUCUGUUGUUAGGGAAGAAACAGUACCGAACGAACUAGGUCGGUACCUUGACGGUACCUAACCAGAAAGCCACGGCUAACUACGUG